rnacentral:rRNA from 1 species
AACCUGGAGACAGGUGCUGCAUGGCUGUCGUCAGCUCGUGCCGUGAGGUGUUCGGUUAAGUCCGGCAACGAGCGCAACCCGCGUCGUCAGUUACUAACAGGUAAUGCUGAGGACUCUGGCGAGACUGCCCGUGUUAAGCGGGAGGAAGGCGCGGAUGACGUCAAGUCAGUAUGGCCCUUAUGUCCAGGGCUGCACACGUGCUACAAUGGCCGGUAUAAUAGGCAGCAAUAUCGCGAGAUGGAGCAAAUCCCCAAAACCGGCCUUAGUUCGGAUUGGAGUCUGCAACUCGACUCCAUGAAGUCGGAAUCGCUAGUAAAGGCGUAUCAGCUACGACGCCUUGAAUACGUUCCCGGGCCUU